rnacentral:rRNA from 1 species
ACGUAGGGUGCAAGCGUUAAUCGGAAUUACUGGGCGUAAAGGGUGCGCAGGCGGCUCCGCAUGUCGGGCGUGAAAUCCCCGGGCUCAACCCGGGAACUGCGUCCGAUACUGGAAGGCUUGAAUUCGGGAGAGGGAUGCGGAAUUCCAGGUGUAGCGGUGAAAUGCGUAGAUAUCUGGAGGAACACCGGUGGCGAAGGCGGCAUCCUGGACCGGCAUUGACGCUGAGGCGCGAAAGCCAGGGGAGCAAACGGGA